rnacentral:rRNA from 1 species
UACAGAGGUCCCGAGCGUUGUUCGGAUUCACUGGGCGUAAAGGGUGCGUAGGUGGUGGAGUAAGUUUGAUGUGAAAUCUCCGGGCUUAACCCGGAAACUGCAUUGAAUACUAUUUUGCUGGAGGUUUGGAGGGGGGACUGGAAUUCUCGGUGUAGCAGUGAAAUGCGUAGAUAUCGAGAGGAACACCAGUGGCGAAGGCGAGUCUCUGGACAGUUACUGACACUGAGGCACGAAGGCCAGGGGAGCAAACGGG